rnacentral:rRNA from 1 species
GGCAGGUCAGCAUACUGCCGUGAAUACGUUCCCGGGCCCUUGUACACACCGCCCGUCACACCAUGAGAGUUGGGGAUACCCGAAGCCUGUGAGCUAACUUUUAGAGGCAGCAGUCGAAGGUAGAAUCAAUGAUUGGGGUGAAGUCGUAACAAGGUAGC